UUCGAUCCUGGCUCAGAUUGAACGCUGGCGGGAUGCUUUACACAUACAGGUGAACGGCGGCACGGACUUCGGUCUGGUGGCGAGUGGCGAACAGGUGAGUAAUGUAUCGGAACGUGCCUAGUAGCGGGGGAUAGCACGCGAAAGCGUAGCUGUGCAUACGCCCUUCGGGGGAAAGCGGGGGGACCUUCGGGCCUCACUGUAGAGCGGCCGAUAUCGGAUUAGCUAGUUGGUGGGGUAACGGCUCACAAAGGCGACGAUCCGUAGCUGGUUUGAGGACGAGCCAGCCACACUGGGUUGAACGGCCCGGGCUCUACAGGAGGCAGCAGUGGGGGAAUUUUGGACGAUGUGGAAACCACAGUCCAGCCAUCACGUGUUGAUGAAGAAGACUGGUUGUAAAAGCACACAGCGGAAAAACGGCGCAGGAUAAUACCCCGUGCAACUGACGGUACCUGCAGAAUAAGCACCGGCUAACUACGUGCCAGCAGCCGCGGUAAUACGUAGGGUGCAAGCGUUAAUCCAGAUUACUGGGCGUAAAGCGUUAACGGGCGACGGAAAGAAAGAUGUGAAAUCCCAGAGCUUAACUUUGGAACUGCAUUUUUAACUGAGCUGGAGUGUGUCAGGAGGUGGUCGCAUUAGUCAGUGAAAUGCGUAUGCGGAGGAACACCGAUGGCGAAGGCAGCCUCCUGGGAUAACACUGACGUGUGCACGAAAGCGUGGGGAGCAAACAGGAUUAAAUACCCUGGUAGUCCACGCCCUAAACGAUGUCAACUAGCUGUUGGGGCCUUCGGGCCUUGGUAGCGCAGCUAACAUGAAGUUGACCGCCGGAGGAACGGUUAAGAUUUGGUUUCGAAAAGGAAUUGACGGGGACCCGCCCCUGACGGUGGAUGAUGUGGAUUAAUUUUUGUAUAAAAACCUUACCUACCCUUGACAUGUGCAGAUCCCGAAGAGAUUUGGGUGCUCGCGAAGACAGAACACAGACAACAUAGCUGUCGUCAGCUCGUGUCGUGAGAUGUUGGGUUGAUCCUGGCAACGCAACCAUUGUGGGUGGCUUUGAAGGGCACUCAAUGAACUCCGGUGACAAACCGGAGGAAGGUGGGGAUGACGUCAAGUCCUCAUGGCCUGUUUUGGGAAGCCACACGUCAUACAAUGGUCGCGGGACAGAGGGUCGCCAACCCGCGAAGGGUAAUCGAGCCCGGUGUAGUCCGGAUCACCAGUCUACGCUCUCGACUGCGUGAAGUCGGAAUCGCUAGUAAUCGCGGAUCAGCAUGUCGCGGUGAAUACGUUCCCGGAGUCUUGUACACCGCCCGUCACACCAUGGGAGUGGGUUUUACCGAAGUAGUUAGCCUAACCGGCGGAGGGCGACUACCACGGUAAGUUCAUGACUGGGGGUGGGGUAACAGGUAG
rnacentral:rRNA from 1 species